rnacentral:rRNA from 1 species
CCUACGGGUGGCUGCAGUGGGGGAUAUUGCACAAUGGAGGAAACUCUGAUGCAGCAACGCCGCGUGAGGGAAGAAGGUCUUCGGAUUGUAAACCUCUGUCCUCAGGGACGAUAAUGACGGUACCUGAGGAGGAAGCCCCGGCUAACUACGUGCAAGCAGCCGCGGGAAGACGUAGGGAGCAAGCGAUGUCCGGAUUUACUGGGUGUAAAGGGUGCGUAGGCGGCCCUGCAAGUCAGGUGUGAAAACUAUGGGCUUAACUCAUAGAUUGCACUUGAAACUGAGGGGCUUGAGUGAAGUAGAGGCCGGCGGAAUUCCCGGUGUAGCGGGGAAAUGCGUAGAGAUCGGGAAGAACACCAGUGGCGAAGGCGGCCUGCUGGGCUUUAACUGACGCUGUGCCACGAAAGCGCGGGUAGCAAACAGGAUUAGAUACCCGAGUAGUC